rnacentral:tRNA from 1 species
GCAUCGGUAGUUCAGUGUUAAAAUACUCGCCUCUCACGCGGGCGGCCCGGGUUCGAUUCUCGGCCGAUGCA